ensembl:lncRNA
ACUCCUCGAGGGAAGGGUCUGAUUUUCAUCUUAACAUCCUCUGUGUCUAGCAUGGUGCCUAAAACACAAGAAAUAUUCAAGAAAUGCUUGUUAGAAGUAGACAAAUAGGUGAACAAGUGAGUGGAUUCUUGAAUGAAUGAACUACUGAGAAGUUUAAUAUAUUGUCUGAGAAUACACAGCUAUAAGCAGUUUAGUGAGGAUUUGUUGUGAUUCUUAUUGUUUAGUAGCCAAGUCAUGACUGACUUUUUUGUGACCCCAUGGACUGUAGCCUGUCAGGCUCCUCUGUGUGGGAUUUUCCAGGGAAAGCUCAUUUCUGCUCCACAGAGCAUCAAGAGUAGCAGUCCACAUGGCUUCCCUGGUGGUAAAGAAGCAGCCUGCCAAUACAGGGGGCACAGGUUAGAUCCCUGUCCGGGAAGAUCCCACAUGCCUCAGAGCAACUAAGCCUGUGAGCCACAACCACUAAGCCUACAUGCUACAACUCCUGAAGCCCACACACCCCGUGCUCUGCAACAAGAGAAGCCGUCGCAAUGAGAAGCCCACAUACCACAACUAGACACUAGCCCCCACUUGAUGAACUGGAGAAAAGCCCGCACAGCAACCAAGACCCAACUCAGCCAAAAAUAAAUAAAUUAACUGAAAAAAAAGAACACUUGACAGUCCAGCUGAAGGCAGAUUGAUCUACCUACAAGAUGGUGCACUCAAUGCAGCUGGAAAGUUGGGGCUGACUGUUGCCUGGGAGGAGCCUCAGUUCAUUUCCACGUAGCCUACACCCCGACAUAGCACACUGGCUGGGUUCUUAUGGGGUACAUCUCCAGAUGGGGGAGCCGGGCACAAAGGAUAUCCUUUCUCAUAACUUAAACUUUGAAAUCUCAUAGCAUCACUUCUUUCGUACUCUCUCGGUCGGGAAAUGGUCAUAAAAGCCACGGAGCUUUGUGGGGCAGAGAUGCGGACUCCACCUCUUGCUGAAGGAGUGGUGACAUCCUGGAAAAGCGUGAGGGAGAGGAGGUAUUGCUGUGGUCAUUUGGGGAACGUCCAGUCUGCCACAACCUGCACCCUUGAAUCUGGUUUUCCUCAAAGGAAAUUUGUACUUCACUGAGGAAUGACUGGAAUGUCCAGCUACUCUGCGAUUGGGUUAAAGCUGCCCUAUCUAAGAGCUUGGGAUAGCAGAGGACUGCUCAUUCGUCAGCCACAACCCUGUGUGAAGGUUGAUAAUGGGGUUUUCCCAUGCCCCCUGAUAGAUAGGUAGGGAAUUCCCAGGCACUGGGCCAUGGAUGCUAGAAGGAAACCGAUCCAUGUAUCAGGCUGAAAGGUGAAGGGGAGACGAAACCCGAGAACAGAUACUGAUCGCCAAUGAAGAAAGAAAUCAACUGCAUUUAUUGAGCCCUGUUGUAAGGGCUAUUUUACUGAGAUUGGAAAAUCUUCAUGCAAUGUUGCCUUUCCACUGACCAAAAAGUCUUUAAGCCAUUAUAAAGCUUGAAAAUUUCAGUGUACCUUCUCAUUUAACCCCCAAAGCGAUCCUAUCAGCAUCAUUAUCCUAAGAGCAUCCGAUGAGACUAUGUUAAAACUAGCACCCUUGGCAUGGAAGGAUGGCUUCAGCCGCAGAGGAGGUGCAAAGUUUCUCAGAGAAAGUGCUUCAAGUCCAGUAUUCACAGUACUCUGCUGACUCCGCUGACUCACGUCACAUGCCGCAAGCCCAUCAACGACUGUGCAGAUUGAUUCAAGAAAACAGCAGCACAGGGAUGGGUAUUUCUGUCCUUGCAGCUUCUCCAGGCAGUUUACGGAGAAGUUCAAUGAAACAGGCUCUAUGCAGCCCGUCCUGUACUUCUUUUAUCCCAAGAAAUGUUCAUUUGUUUCUAAUAUUCGUUCUCUUCUCCAAAUCAAUUCCUUAUCUGUAACAAAAUGUCUCUUUUCAUCCAAUUCCGUGAAAUCCUGAAGCAUCAGAAGGAUGUUUUUACAAAAUGGUUCCAUUUACAAGUAAUUCUAUCGCAAAGCCCCUGAGGAUCAUGCUGCAGCGAAGUUUUAGUAUAAUAUUCUCUUGGAUGCAAUAAUUCAGCCAUUGUAGCUCAUAUCACGGGAUCCUUGGUUUAAUGAGAGUUUUGCUGCAAGGCAUCCAAUAUCCACCCAGUGCACUUAAGAAAAUCAGGUAAAACAGGUGUUUCCUCAAUUAACAAUUUAGAGUUUUGUUACAUGAAAAAUAAGUGAACCGAAAUAGAAGGUAAUAUUCCUAGCAAAACAUACCAGUAUUCUACGCUUCCUGUUUUCCCAAAGCCCUUGAAUGUAUCAUUU